rnacentral:rRNA from 1 species
UCUACGUCUGUGCAAGCAGCGGGGGGAAUACAGAGGGUGUAAGCGUUAAUCGUGAUUACGGGGCGUGAAGCGGACGUAGGUGGCUGGGGAAGUUGGAUGUGAGAUCCGCGGGGUUAACUUGGGAAUUGCAUUCAAGACUGGCUUGCUAGAGUGGGGAAGAGGGAAGCGGAAUUCCAGGUGUAGCGGUGAAAUGCGUAGAUAUCUGGAGGAACAUCAGUGGCGAAGGCGGCUUCCUGGUCCAACACUGACACUGAGGUGCGAAAGCUUGGGGAGCAAACAGGAUUAGAUACCCGAGUAGUC